UAGGGAACCUUCCACAAUGGACGAAAGUCUGAUGGAGCAACGCCGCGUGAGUGAAGAAGGGUUUCGGCUCGUAAAACUCUGUUGUUAAAGAAGAACAUAUCUGAGAGUAACUGUUCAGGUAUUGACGGUAUUUAACCAGAAAGCCACGGCUAACUACGUGCCAA
rnacentral:rRNA from 1 species